GACGAGGGUGAGCAAUGUUGUCGAAUUACUGGGCGUAAAGCGCACGUAGGCGGCUUUGUAAGUUAGAGGUGAAAGCCCGGGGCUCAACUCCGGAAUUGCCUUUAAGACUGCAUCGCUAGAAUUGUGGAGAGGUAAGUGGAAUUCCGAGUGUAGAGGUGAAAAUUCGUAGAUAUUCGGAAGAACACCAGUGGCGAAGGCGACUUACUGGACACAUAUUGACGCUGAGGUGCGAAAGCGUGGGGAGCAAACAGG
rnacentral:rRNA from 1 species